GAACACAAGCAAAUCGAACGGUCGACCUCGACAAAAACCUUCGGGAAGAAGACGAGAUCUAGAUAGUGGCGGACGGGUGAGUAACACGUGAAUAAUUUGUCCUCAAGUUUGGGAUAACCUGGCGAAAGUCGGGAUAAUCCGAGGUAAGCUGAGAGUGUGGCAUCACACAAUCAGAAAAGGUGGCUUUCCCAUCGUUUGAGGAGGAGUUCGCGGUAGAUUAGCUAGCUGGUGAGGUAAUGGCUCACCAGGGCAAUAAUCUAUAGCUGGUCUGAGAGGACGAUCAGUCACACUGGAACUGAGACACGGUCCAGACUCCUACGGGAGGCAGCAGUGGGGAAUCUUCCACAAUGGGCGAAACCCCGACCGAGCAACGC
rnacentral:rRNA from 1 species